rnacentral:rRNA from 1 species
GUAGGGAAUAUUGCACAAUGGGCGAAAGCCUGAUGCAGCAACGCCGCGUGCGCGAUGAAGGCCUUCGGGUCGUAAAGCGCUUUUCGGGGAGACGAGGAAGGACGGUAUCCCCGGAAUAAGGAUCGGCUAACUACGUGCCAGCAGCCGCGGUAAAACGUAGGAUCCGAGCGUUAUCCGAAUUCACUGGGCGUAAAGCGCGUGUAGGCGGUCUUAUAAGUUGGAUGUGAAAUCUCCUGGCUCAACUAGGAGAGGCCGUUCAAUACUGUAGGACUAGAGGGCAGUAGAGGGAGGUGGAAUUCCCGGUGUAGUGGUGAAAUGCGUAGAUAUCGGGAGGAACACCAGUGGCGAAGGCGGCCUCCUGGACUGUACCUGACGCUCAGACGCGAAAGCUAGGGGAGCGAACGGGAUUAGAUACCCUAGUAGUCC